AUGGAGCCGACCUUGAAAUACCACCCUUUAAUGUUUGAUGUUCUAACGUUGACCCGUAAUCCGGGUUGCGGACAGUGUCUGGUGGGUAGUUUGACUGGGGCGGUCUCCUCCUAAAGAGUAACGGAGGAGCACGAAGGUUGGCUAAUCCUGGUCGGACAUCAGGAGGUUAGUGCAAUGGCAUAAGCCAGCUUGACUGCGAGCGUGACGGCGCGAGCAGGUGCGAAAGCAGGUCAUAGUGAUCCGGUGGUUCUGAAUGGAAGGGCCAUCGCUCAACGGAUAAAAGGUACUCCGGGGAUAACAGGCUGAUACCGCCCAAGAGUUCAUAUCGACGGCGGUGUUUGGCACCUCGAUGUCGGCUCAUCACAUCCUGGGGCUGAAGUAGGUCCCAAGGGUAUGGCUGUUCGCCAUUUAAAGUGGUACGCGAGCUGGGUUUAGAACGUCGUGAGACAGUUCGGUCCCUAUCUGCCGUGGGCGCUGGAGAACUGAGGGGGGCUGCUCCUAGUACGAGAGGACCGGAGUGGACGCAUCACUGGUGUUCGGGUUGUCAUGCCAAUGGCACUGCCCGGUAGCUAAAUGCGGAAGAGAUAAGUGCUGAAAG
rnacentral:rRNA from 1 species